rnacentral:lncRNA from 1 species
UCUGAACCGUCCGAUUGCGAUUAAAUUGGAAAUAAAUCUGGGUCAUCCAUCGUGAUGCGAUCUGAGUCAUUUGUGCGUGAUCAAAUCUGGACAGUCUGCACACGUGAGAUCUGGACCGUCCAUACGUGUUUUUCAUCUGGGCCGUCCGUGCGCACGGGAACGGAUCUGGGCCGUCCGAUCGCGCGCACGCAGAUCGCCCAUGUGUCUCCGUCCCGCGUGGCUUCCCGCGUCAGCGUUCCUGCCACGCGGCGUGUCCUGGUUGGCCGGGGCUGCUGACCGGGCUACUGACAUGGCACCAUUUUUUUAAAUUACGUUUUGACCCCCGGUUUUCGAUUUUCUUUUCAAAAACACCCACAUAAUCCAAAUUUUUAUCUCUUUUUCCUAAAAUCAAUUUCAAUUAAAUCCCAAAAAUAAUUUUACCAUAUUUUAUUAUUAU